UCUUGGGUCAGUGAGAAUGAGAAGUCUUGGCUCGCUGUAUGAAGUCUGAAGCUGAUUGGUAAAGGUACCAGGGGUGUGACGGCCAGCAAUAGCAUGUGCACCAGUAUAUUGAGCAAAUUUCAAGACAGCUCUCUGUCCAUAAGGCCUGGCAGAUUGAACAAUGAUGUCCUGAGGAUUCUCAAUAGCAACAAUCACCCUGGCAGCCAUUUGAAGCUUUUCCCAUGUCUUUCCAAGGUUGAUGAUGUAGAUACCAUCGUUACGGCGCUUGAAAGCGUAUCGCUCCAUUUGGAAGUCACAAUUCUUAGUACCGAGGUGAACUUCAGCAGCCAACAUCAUCUGAAUGUCAGCUUCUUUAGUCGAAAGAGUCCUUACAUCUUGCGUCGCCAUGGUUGUGCUCUGCUUCUUCCCUUUCUGCUGCUAGGGUUUUUUUCGGCUUGCGGCAGAUCGAGAUUCUC
rnacentral:misc_RNA from 1 species